rnacentral:rRNA from 1 species
GGGUUGUGAGGUUAAGCGACUAAGCGUACACGGUGGAUGCCCUGGCAGUCAGAGGCGAUGAAGGACGUGCUAAUCUGCGAUAAGCGCCGGUAAGGUGAUAUGAACCGUUAUAACCGGCGAUUUCCGAAUGGGGAAACCCAGUGUGACUCGUCACACUAUCAUUAACUGAAUCCAUAGGUUAAUGAGGCGAACCGGGGGAACUGAAACAUCUAAGUACCCCGAGGAAAAGAAAUCAACCGAGAUUCCCCCAGUAGCGGCGAGCGAACGGGGAGGAGCCCAGAGCCUGAAUCAGCAUGUGUGUUAGUGGAAGCGUCUGGAAAGGCGCGCGAUACAGGGUGACAGCCCCGUACACAAAAGCGCAUGUGCUGUGAGCUCGAUGAGUAGGGCGGGACACGUGGUAUCCUGUCUGAAUAUGGGGGGACCAUCCUCCAAGGCUAAAUACUCCUGACUGACCGAUAGUGAACCAGUACCGUGAGGGAAAGGCGAAAAGAACCCCGGCGAGGGGAGUGAAAAAGAACCUGAAACCGUGUACGUACAAGCAGUGGGAGCACCCUUUGGGGUGUGACUGCGUACCUUUUGUAUAAUGGGUCAGCGACUUAUAUUCUGUAGCAAGGUUAACCGAAUAGGGGAGCCGGAGGGAAACCGAGUCUUAAUUGGGCGUUAAGUUGCAGGGUAUAGACCCGAAACCCGGUGAUCUAGCCAUGGGCAGGUUGAAG